rnacentral:rRNA from 1 species
UACGGAGGGGACUAGCGUUGCUCGGAAUUACUGGGCGUAAAGCGCACGUAGGCGGAUUUGUUAGUCAGGGGUGAAAUCCCGAGGCUCAACCUCGGAACUGCCUUUGAUACUGCAAAUCUCGAGUCCGGAGGAGGUGAGUGGAAUUCCUAGUGUAGAGGUGAAAUUCGUAGAUAUUAGGAAGAACACCAGUGGCGAAGGCGGCUCACUGGUCCGGUACUGACGCUGAGGUGCGAAAGCGUGGGGAGCAAACAGG